rnacentral:rRNA from 1 species
AACGAACGCUGGCGGCAUUCCUAACACAUGCAAGUCGAACGAAGCCUUCGGGCUUAGUGGCGCACGGGUGCGUAACGCGUGGGAAUCUGCCCUUGGGUUCGGAAUAACAGUUAGAAAUGACUGCUAAUACCGGAUGAUGUCUUCGGACCAAAGAUUUAUCGCCCAAGGAUGAGCCCGCGUAGGAUUAGGUAGUUGGUGGGGUAAUGGCCCACCAAGCCGACGAUCCUUAGCUGGUCCGAGAGGAUGAUCAGCCACACUGGGACUGAGACACGGCCCAGACUCCUACGGGAGGCAGCAGUGGGGAAUAUUGGACAAUGGGCGAAAGCCUGAUCCAGCAAUGCCGCGUGAGUGAUGAAGGCCUUAGGGUUGUAAAGCUCUUCUACCAGGGAUGAUAAUGACAGUACCUGGAGAAUAAGCUCCGGCUAACUCCGUGCCAGCCGCCGCGGUAAUAC